UCCAGCUCCAAUAGAGUAUAUAAAUGUUCCUGCAGUUAUUCGAUGCUCGUAGUUGGAUUUCUGAAGUUGAGGCGGGAGGGUGGCUAUGGCCAUCGCCCAUCUCUUCCUUCAUCCACCUGUUAGCGAAUCCCGGGAUUGAUUUCUCGGUUUCGGGCUCAGGUAUCUUACCAUUUUCUAUAUUUGCAAUCUUCAUCGAUUAUGCAUUUAUUCUUUGAGCAAAUUAUAGUGUUUCAGGCAGGCGUGCGCCGGAAUACAUUAGCAUGGUAUAAACGAAUUGGACCGUGUAUUCAUUAUUUGAAUUCUUCCUUAUUUGUUGGUUUGAAGGACACGGAGAUGGUUAAUAGGGACAGAAUUUAUUUCAGGGGGAGGCAUUAGUAUUUAAUUUCCAGAGGUGAAAUUCUUUGAAAUAUUAAAGACUAACUUAUGCGAAAGCAUUUAUUUGCCAAUGAUGUUUUCAUUAAUCAUUGAACGAAAGUUAGGGGAUCAAAGACGAUCAGAUACCGUCCUAGUCUUAACCAUAAACGUUGCCGACUAGGGAUCGGAGGGCGUGCACAUUCCGCCUUCGGCACCUUACGAGAAAUCAAAGUCUUUUGGGUUCUGUGGGUAGUAUGGUCGCAAGGCUGAAACUUAAAGGAAUUGACGGAAGGGCACCACCAGGAGUGGAGCUUGCGGCUCAAUUUGACUCAACACGGGAAAUCUUACCAGGUCCAGACAUAGCGAGGAUUGACAGAUUGAUAGCUCUUUCUUGAUUCUAUGGGUAUUUUGGUGGUGCAUGGCCGUUCUUAGUUGGUGGAGUGAUUUGUCUGGUUAAUUCCGUUAAACGAACGAGACCUCAGCCUGCUAAAUAGUUGCUUGUCUUUCUCUUACGAGACUUGACAACUUCUUAGAGGGACUUUGUGUGCAACCACAAGGAAGUUUGAGGCAAUAACAGGUCUGUGAUGCCCUUAGAUGUCCUGGGCCGCACGCGUGCUACACUGAUACGUACAACGAGGUAUAUGUACUUGUACAUCGAUGCUGCUCCGAAAUAGACACAGCUUAAUCUUAUAAAUACGUAUCGUGCUGCGGAUAGAUCGUUGAAAUUAUGAAUCUUGAAGGUGGAAUUCCUAGUAAGCGCGGGUCACUAACCCGCGUUGAUUACGUCCCUGCCCUUUGUACACACCGCCCGUCGCUCCUACCAAUUUCGAGUGAUCUGGUGAACCUCUUUGGACUGUCGAGCAAUCGCGAAAUUAGAGUGAACCUGAUCACUUAGAGGAAGGAGAAGUCGUAACAAGGUUUCCGUAGGUGAACCUGCAGAAGGAUCAAAC
rnacentral:rRNA from 1 species